rnacentral:sRNA from 1 species
AGCAGGCACUUGCACUAUGCCUGUAGUCCCAGCUACAGGGAGGUUGAGGCAAGAGGAUUGCAUGAGCUCAGGAGUUCAAGGCCAGCCUGGGAAACAAGUGAGACUCUGUCUCAA